rnacentral:rRNA from 1 species
AGGGAAUCUUCCACAAUGGACGCAAGUCUGAUGGAGCAACGCCGCGUGAGUGAAGAAGGUCUUCGGAUCGUAAAAGCUCUGUUGUUGGUGAAGAAGGAUAGAGGCAGUAACUGGUCUUUAUUUGACGGUAAUCAACCAGAAAGUCACGGCUAACUACGUGCCAGCAGCCGCGGUAAUACGUAGGUGGCAAGCGUUGUCCGGAUUUAUUGGGCGUAAAGCGGGCGCAGGCGGAAUGAAAGUCUGAUGUGAAAG